rnacentral:rRNA from 1 species
GACGAACGCUGGCGGCGUGCUUAACACAUGCAAGUCGAACGGUGAAGCGCCUUCCUUUUUGGUGGGUGUGGAUGAGUGGCGAACGGGUGAGUAACACGUGAGUAACCUGCCCCCUUCUUCUGGAUAACCGCAUGAAAGUGUGGCUAAUACGGGAUAUUCUGGGUCUGUCGCAUGAUGGGUCUGGGAAAGAUAUUGUUUCGGUGGGGGAUGGGCUCGCGGCCUAUCAGCUUGUUGGUGGGGUGAUGGCCUACCAAGGCGGUGACGGGUAGCCGGCCUGAGAGGGUGGACGGUCACACUGGGACUGAGACACGGCCCAGACUCCUACGGGAGGCAGCAGUGGGGAAUAUGGCACAAUGGGCGCAAGCCUGAUGCAGCGACGCCGCGUGAGGGAUGGAGGCCGUCGGGUUGUGAACCUCUUUCGCCAGUGAAGCAGGCCUGCCUCGUUUGUGGGUGGGUUGACGGUAGCUGGAUAAGAAGCGCCGGCUAACUACGUG